GACGAACGCUGGCGGCGUGCUUAACACAUGCAAGUCGAACGGAAAGGCCCUGCUUUUGUGGGGUGCUCGAGUGGCGAACGGGUGAGUAACACGUGAGUAACCUGCCCUUGACUUUGGGAUAACUUCAGGAAACUGGGGCUAAUACCGGAUAGGAGCUCCUGCUGCAUGGUGGGGGUUGGAAAGUUUCGGCGGUUGGGGAUGGACUCGCGGCUUAUCAGCUUGUUGGUGGGGUAGUGGCUUACCAAGGCUUUGACGGGUAGCCGGCCUGAGAGGGUGACCGGCCUCAUUGGGACUGAGAUACGGCCCAGACUCCUACGGGAGGCAGCAGUGGGGAAUAUUGCACAAUGGGCGGAAGCCUGAUGCAGCAACGCCGCGUGCGGGAUGACGGCCUUCGGGUUGUGAACCGCUUUCGCCUGUGACGAAGCGUGAGUGACGGUAAUGGGUAAAGAAGCACCGGCUAACUACGUG
rnacentral:rRNA from 1 species